GGAGUCUGGCCUGAGGGAGGUUUGGCCUGAGGUGGGUCUGGCCUGAGGUGGAUCUGGCCUGAGGUGGGUCUGGCCCGAGGUGGGUCUGGCCUGAGGUGGAUCUGGCCUGAGGUGGGUCUGGCCUGAGGUGGGUCUGGCCUGAGGUGGGUCUGGCCUGAGGGAGGUUUGGCCUGAGGUGGGUCUGGCCUGAGGUGGAGUCUGGCCUGAGGUGGGUCUGGCCUGAGGGGUCUGGCCUGAGGUGGGUCUGGCCUGAGGGGGGUCUGGCCUGAGGAGAGUUUGGCCUGAGGUGGGUCUGGCCUGAGGGGGGUCUGGCCUGA